GUGCUGGACGUCGGGCGAGAGCUGAUUGCACCACCGAAGCCUGCAGGACUUGCCGGAGCGGCCGGGGAUUCCGGAGCUGAUCAUGGACCAGUUCCUCGGGCCGUGCUGCUGGACGAGCUUGAUGAGUGCUACGUCCUCCUGUGGGCUCCACGAGCCUUUGAUCCGAUCGGCGGUGGAAGAAGACGGCGGUUCCAUAGAUGUUUGAUUUGGAAAUCCGAAUAGAAUAAAUGAAGAAGAAGGGAUAAUAUAAGAGAAUAACGGUUAAGGGGGGAAUAAUUUGUUGUUACUGUUCUUGUUGUUGUGUUGUUAGUGUGGAACCGUAAAACCGCCGCUACACGGCGAUGGCGAUAAUUUUAACGACUUUGGCUCGUUACAGGGGGGGGGGGGGGGGGGGGGUUUUUUUUAUACUUUUUUUUUGGGGUGUGAUGUUAACACAUAGUGUGUAAAUGUAACCGACUGAAACGGAAAGGAUGGUGAUGAAUGAAUAACAACUGAAACUCAUGAUGAACAAGUUAGGUAUUGUAUACGGAUUUGAUUGCUGAUUCGGAAUAGUUCAAGAUAUAUUGAGUUGGAUUGUAUGGAAUUUGAAAAGAUACGAUAUAUGAAGAAUAUAUUCAUUAAUCUUACACCAGUUCAUGUUAGGAGUGUUGGUGUUGGGAUGGUGAUUCACUGAUUUGUAACAACAUUGGUGAGGGGCUGCAAUUUGUCAUGCAACACCUACAUAGUCGUCGUAACUUGAGGGAAGUGGAAGCGUUGGCGUUACGGUUGGCUAUGAAGAGUGAUGCUUUGAGAUUGAUAAACAAGUUGUGGCUUUGGUUGCAAACAACAACGUUAGGGAUAUCUCGAAUUUUGGACGCCUCAUUGUAGGGUGUUGGAGCAUCAUUAAGUAAAUAUUACUUUUCACUGUGUCAUCGGUUACGAAAUAUAUGAUCCGGGUGGAAAACGGAGGCGUUGGCGUUACGGUCGACUAUGAAGAGUGUUGCCUUAAGAUUGAUAACCAAGUUGUGGCUUUGGCAGCAAAUGGUGAUGGGCAACAAAGGGUCUUGGAACAUCAUUAAGGACAUAUAAUUUUUCACGAUGUUAUAAGUUAGGAGAUAUAGGAAUGGGGUUGCGAUCGAAUUUGUUCAUUACUACCACCGCUUUGUGUCUACUUUUAUGGUAUGUUUACCGCCUUUGUGUCUAGUAUGUGAUUGAUCCUACUAUACACUUCAAUAAGGUAUGUUUACGAGUCGAGCUGAGUCAAACUUCACCAUGUUCAAGCUUUGUAGUCGAGUUAGAGAUUUAGAAAAUUUCAGCUCGUGUCGAGCUCGGGCCUAUUAGAGCCUGACUUUUGAGCUAACAUUUACGUGCCGAACUCAAACUCAACGCGAACUUCACUCAUUAAAACCCACAAUGAGAGUCUGGUCUAAUGGGCCUGAUGGAUACGGGCCUACUAGCCCAACACUCCUCAUCAUAUCUUCAGCCCACAGUUCAGCAAACUAGGGUUACACUUCGCACCACUAUAUAAAUACAGCCAGCCUAAACUCUUCAUUCCUCUCCGUCAGCUCCUCCCAACACAAGUUUUAUCCAGCUUCACACAGAGCAAAGAGUAAACCAGAGGAAAAGCUUGCGAACUUAAUCACCAUGAGGGCCAAGGUAAGCUUCCGAUCUUCAAUCCAUCUUUCAUUUCGUCGAUCUCGUUAUCUCUUCCAUCCGAUUAUUAACUGAUCAUCUCAUUCUUUUGUUUGCAGUGGAAGAAGAAGCGUAUGAGGAGAUUGAAGAGGAAGCGCCGAAAAAUGAGACAGAGAUCCAAGUAGUCUGCCUCCUCGUCGUCGCUCACGGAAUACGGGAUUAGCUUACCGUUCUAGGUGGAGUUUAUCUGUAUUUUGUUGUUUCGCACCGUUGCCAGACUUCGUCGAUCGUUUUGCCAGUAGCGGAUUGUUGUUUUUGUUCGAAUUUUUGAGUGUUUAAGUUGGAGACAGUGGUUUUUGCUACAGCAUGUUUGUUAGUAUGUUGAUGGAUAUUUCAGUAAUGGAGCUGCCUAGCCUUUCGUUUUUAACCGCUUUCUUCAGCAUGCUUGUCCUGUUUCUGCUUCAAUACGUUUUUCUUGUCUCUUGUGAUCUGUUGUUUCUUAUAUUGUCUUGCUUUUGUGAUCACCACCAUUCGUAAUAGAUUACUGUUAUAGGCUACAGAGUUGAUUCUGCUUCCACAUGAGUUUUAGCAUUUCCCUCAGUUCUGUAUAUCAUACGGCUUGCUUGGCUAUUCAUAAUUUCACCAUAGAUCGCUGAAUGAUAUUUAGCUCGGUUUGCUAUCUUCAGUGUGUUCAGAUCCUGGUCUUUUCUAUCUGGGAAGUUAUUAUCCACUGCUUUCUCCAUGUUUCAGUUGCAAUGCAUGCUUUGCUUGUAGUCUAGAAUUGAUGUUGUUACUAGCUAGUGUUAGGUGCUUAGCUUUGGAUGGAUUGUCUAGCUCUUUCUAUGGAUUUUUGACGCAGUAAAUCAUCUUCAGAGACGUUCUGUUGUUGAAUUGUUUAUUGUGGAUGCAAGCAUAAAGCAUUGCAUUUGUAUCGAACUGUCCAAAAGAUUAGAUUGUCAGGUUCUAUAAAGUGUUUCAAACUCUAAAUUGAUGUGACUAUCUUGCUAUCCAUGUGUUUCGAUCUACAAAAUGUCCAGCAUUCGCACAUUUGGUGCUUUUCUUCACCUUCAUCGACUUGAAUCUCUGUUUUGCUUAAGAAAGAUGCAGUGAUGUUACCUGGAGAUGUGGGAUCAGAAUUGAUAUGUUUCUUCUGCCAUCAAUGUCAAAAUUUUUUUGUAGUUUUAUCCUUGAAAUGCCACGCUAAAUAUGACCGAUGAGGUUCGAGGGGAGUGGCUUGGUUGUGUACGAAUCUUGAGUCGAACUUAAUGCUCGAGAUUGUUUUUUCAGAUGAGUUUAUGUUGUAUCUAAAAUUACCUCAUGUUUAGCCUGCCUUGUUUGUUAACUUGCAUUGAUAAGCCAAACUCUAUUCGGACUCGAAUAUUGUAUAUUGAAUAACAAACUGAUUUUGAACUUUGUACAAUUUGACGAGUAACUAAAUAGCAUACUAUCUUAAAACUUUCCAUAAUGUUUCUUGUAUAUAUAUUGUAUUAGUAAGUUUAGUAUAUCCUAGCUUAAGUGAGUUACGAACUAGCUUUAUUGGAGCGGAACGACGAGUUGCUUGUGAGAUGGUGUUACGAAUGGGUUUUAUCCGAGCCGAACGAACCAGUUUGUUCUAUUGAAAAUGAUUUCGACUUCAUUCAUAUUUCAUAGAACAAACUGUUUUCUUUUAAUGGUUGUAGAACAAACUGUUGCAGACUCUGUAACACGAUCAAAACAAAAGAAUUCCCAAGUUGGUUUAGCUUCAACUCCUUUCCCUCGUCACUCAAAACAAAACGAAAGAAAAACAAGAUGAACAAAUAAUAAUAAAACACCGCCUCAGCCAAAAUCGCCGCCGCCGGAAGCAACCCAAAUGAUAAGACCAUCUCGAAUUAACCGGUC
rnacentral:lncRNA from 1 species